ensembl:lncRNA
UUUUUUUUUUUUUUUUUUUCUGGCUACACUCAUGGCAAGUAGAAGUUCUAGAGCCAGGGAUCAAACCCUCACUACAGCAGCAACCUGAGCCACUGCAGUGACAAUGCUAGAUCCUUAACCCACUGUACCACAAGGGAACUCCCCCAAGCACUAAUCUUGAGUGAAUACACAGCAGGAGUUCCCGUCGUGGCUCAGUGGUUAACGAAUCCGACUAGGAACCAUGAGGACACGGGUUCAAUCCCUGGCUUUGCUCAGUGGGUUAAGGAUCUGGUGUUGCCAUGAGCUAUGGUGUAGGUCGCAGACACAGCUCGGAUCCUGCUUUGCUGUGGCUGUGGUGUAGGCUGGCGGCUACAGCUCCAAUUAGCCCCCUAGCCUGGGAACCUCUAUAUGCUGUGGCCAUGGCCCUAAAAAGACCAAAAAAAAUAAAAAUAAAAAAAAAAAUAAAAAGAAAUAAAAAAUAAAAAAAAAAGGAAAAGAAUUCUGGCUGUAGGAAUUGAAGAGGUCUUUCUGGAGUCAGGGAAUUAGCUCAGCUUAGAAAGGCAGGAGAAUAUGAAAUCAUUUGUACUGCCUCUCUAGGAAUGUAACCAUACAUUUCGAGAGACCCAUACUUGAAUUCUGGUUCAGUUGCUUAUAGGCUGUAAUGAUAAUCAGGCAAAUUAUUUUCCUUUUAUGAGCAUUUUCUCCUCUAUAAAACAGGCAUUGUGAAAAGAUGCAGCCAUAUCUCAAAAAACAACUAUAUAAAACCCUGGUCCCACCUGGACACAUGAUGGGACUUAACCAACAUCCCUUUCUCUGCUGAGAACAGGAACACGCAUCCGGGAAGGAUACCCCAGGGCAAUGGGAAUCACCUGCCAGCUAACAGAGCAGAGCCCUUUGGGGGCUAAUAAAACAGACAACGGACCCGAAAGGGUACCUGCAGAGUCUGGAGAGUAGGAAAUCCAGGCAUAUAUCUGGAUCCAGGUCUCAGCCUACAUCUCUCUCCAGCAUGAACUGUGUGGCAGCUCAUUCUAGACAAACAGUACAUCAUCAUGGACUUAGUCGGAUGAGGAAAUGGAAGCCCCCACCUCAGCUCCUCGGGAAAGACAGCCCUAUGCUGACUUCGGGUCUCUAGGAGGCUGGAGCGGGACCUAGUGCAAGGAAACCACUGGGUCCAGCUGCCAGGAUUUUAAUUAGUCCAACCUUAAAAGUGUGCAACCACGGAGAUUAAAAGGAGCCCCCAGGGAAAGCCUCUGCCCUCCACUCAGUUCAGCCAAUUAGAUCUGCUCAAGUGCCCUAAUUUUCAUCACCGAAUUCCGGGGGGAGUCCGGCCUCGCCAAGCUCUGACUUCUGGCUGAGAGCACAGGCACGUGCUCAGCUCAGGAAGAGCAGCUGGGUGCGGGCUGCUAGAGAGGCAGCGUCAAGCAUGAGACCCCGACACCUCCGCUACAUCAGUAAACCAAGAACUCCCCUCUUGCCGGGUCCUAGCCCCUCCCCAGUGUCCUACUGGGACCUACCCUCCCGGGGCUGAACCCUAACCACCAAAUCCACAUUGAAAAGCUAGCAAAGGCUAGUUCUUCUCCCCGCCCGCCACCGCCACCCCCACCCCCAAGGCACAUGGAGUUCCCAGGCCAGGGAUAGAAUCUGAGCCGCAGCUGUGACCUAUCCAGCAAUGCUGGAUCCUUAACCCUCUGUGACACAGCAGGAACUCCCGAAGGCUAGUUCUGAUUCCCAGUCCAGAGUACCCUCAACCCGGUACUGCUUGUAUUUUAAAGGGGGGUUUUCCAAAGUGAAAAUGACUUCGGGGCAAGGUAAGAAUUGAGCUGCAUGGUACACCAGGGGGCAAACGUGAAAACUGAGGCAUGAAGGGGGAAGGAGCCUUGUUCAAGUUAAUGACAAGAUAUUAUACACAGGAGUUCUCCUACGGCACAGUGGGUUGAGGACCCGGCAUUGUCACUGCAGCAGCUUGGGUUGCUGCUGCCACACAGGUUCAAUCUCUGGCCCGGGAAUUUCCACACGCCAUGGAUCUGGACCAAAAAAAAAAAAAAAAAAGAUCUUAUACUCAAAAGCCAACAAACAUCAUGUUUCCUAAGGCUCAGUCCUCUGCCUGACAACUGUUCCAGGGGUAGCCACACUUCUCCAGUUGUCACUGAGAGGUGAAAAGCAAGGUUGUAAGAAAAAGCGAGAACCUAGGAGACCCAAGAGAGUAAAGAGAGGGGAGACAUAAGAUAGUAAAGAGAGGGGAAGAACCAGGGUAUUUAGUGUUCUUUUUUUAAAAACUAGCUAUUUCAGAAAGAAAGCCAUGAAGACUCAAGAGAACUAAGCUGGAAAGAGGGAAGAAAAAGGGGGGAGAAAGGUUCAAGAGAAACAGUGCAAAGAAAAUGCGUUAAGACAGAAGCUACAGGAGUUCCCGUCAUGGCGCAGUGGUUAACGAAUCCGACUAGGAACCAUGAGGUUGCGGGUUCGGUCCCUGCCCUUGCUCAGUGGGUUAAGGAUCCAGCGUCGCCGUGAGCUGUGGUGUAGGUUGCAGACACGGCUCGGAUCCCAAGUUGCUGUGGCUCUGGCGUAGGCCGGUGGCUCCAGCUCCGAUUCGCCCCCUAGCCUGGGAACCUCCAUAUGCAGCGGGAGGGGCCCAAGAAACGGCAAAAAGAAAAAAAAAAAAAAGACAGAAGCUACAAAACAGUAAGCAGCUAUUUUAUUAAUCAGAAAAUCUUCUUAUGGAGCUCCCUCUGUGGGACAAUGGGAUCGGUGGCAUCUUGGAAGCACUGGGACGCAGGUUCUAUCCCCGGCCCAGCACAGUGUUCCUGUAGGCUUGGGUCGCAACUGUGUUCGAAUCUGAUCCCUGGCCCUGAACUCCAUAUGCCAAGGGGCGGCAAAAAAUGAAAAGAAAAUCUUGCAGCGUUCCCAUUGUGGCUCAGCGGUAACGAAACCAACUAGUAUCCAUGAGGACACGGGUUCAAUCCCUGGCCUCGCUCAGUGAGUUAAAGAUCUGGCACUGCCAUCAGCUGUGGUGUAGGUCACAGACUCAGCCUGGAUCCCGGGUUGCUGUGGCUGUGGUGUAGGCCAGCAGCUACAGCUCCAAUUCAGCCCCUAGCCUGGGAACCUC